GUGCUUGCUUCGACAGCACAUAUACUAAAACUGGAACAUACAGAGAUUAGCAUGGCUCCUGUGCAAGGAAGACACGCAAAUUUGUGAAGCAUUCCAUAUUUUU
ensembl:snRNA U6 U6 spliceosomal RNA